UACGUAGGCAGCGAGCGUUGUUCGGAGUUACUGGGCGUAAAGGGUGUGUAGGCGGUUGUUUAAGUUUGGUGUGAAAUCUCCCGGCUCAACUGGGAGGGUGCGCCGAAUACUGAAUGACUUCGAGUGCGGGAGAGGAGAGUGGAAUUCCUGGUGUAGCGGUGAAAUGCGUAGAUAUCAGGAGGAACACCGGUGGCGAAGGCGGCUUCCUGGACCGACACUGACGCUGAGGCGCGAAAGCCAGGGGAGCAAACGGG
rnacentral:rRNA from 1 species